CUGUGUUGCUUACCAGCGGAAAGGAAUUUGAUGGUUUUGGUGUCCCCAUCCGCCUUGUGCCCUUCGGGGUGCGGGGUGGACGCGAGGCAGGCUCCGUGUUCCYCGCGCGUUGAGUGUGUUGACACUUGACCGCUGUGGCCCAUGGGGUCUUGACCCGUGCUCUCGGAUGCGGAAUGUUGUGUGUGGGCGUGGGGUCUCGGCCUCUACUCGUCCAAGCUACACGCAUUGUCCCUUAACAUGAACGACUGUUGCGCCCGUCUUGAACGACUGACCGAGCCCCUUUUGUGGGUUUUCGGGAUGGCGGCUCAUGCGGAUGUCRGCGUCGGAGAGGAAUGC
rnacentral:misc_RNA from 1 species